CCAACAUAUUAUUCAAAAAGCUGUAAAACAUAUAAUAAAAUGCUCAGCUGAUGCCAUAUUUAUCACCUGCCAAUUAGGACCAAGGAGUCCUAACUCACAUGUAGGUUGCGUCCUGGUGCCAUCCUGGCAGUCUGAGAAUGAAGGUAUUAUGCGUUCUACAGUGGACGUCUCUUGUUUUCAAAAAAUAAUCUGCAGCAUAGAGGCCCUUGCUAUGUGGAAUUGAGCUGUAAAGGGAUUCAACGUCUAUACUAGCCAGUAUGCAUCCCGGGUCCACACUGAUCGCCUCGAUCUUACUGAGAAAGUCCAUUGUGUCCCUCGUAUAUGAUGGUAGGGACACAACGAACUGUCUCAGCACGCGAUCGAUAUAAAUACCACAAUUCUGUGUUAGGGAAUUAACCCCAGAGACGAUUGGGCGGCCUUUUAAAGGGGUAAUGCCCUUGUGGACUUUAGGCAGUCCAUAAAAGGUAGCUAUGGUAGAGUGAGUCGGGAGGAGAAAGUCGUACUCCGCCGUCGAGAUUACCCUAUCUGCAAGGGC